GACGCUCAGCACUAAAAACAGUUUUAUUCGAUAAUUGAAUACAUUUUCUACAAGAUGGUUCACUUCAAGCACUCUUUUCAUUGAGUUGUUUAUAAAAUAUGGCUUAAACUAAACAGGUAAACAGGUAGUUUAUAUUCUUAGUUGAGCUGCAUCACAGCAGCAAAGAAGCGAUAAAUUCGUACCCUGGAAUAAUAACUGAAGCAACAACUCAUUAAAAUAACACAAAUGUAAACACAGAACGUUGUGUUUGUGUUUUUAUACUAAACUAAUAUUUAGAGUGGUGGGAUACGACCAUAAAUGGAAUUUCUACAUUUGUUCAUGGAAUUUACUUAGUGUGUUAGCAAAACAAGCUGAUUUCAUUAUCGGGAAAAACAGCAGAACAUUUGAUCAGUUUACAAAUACGCAUCUCCAAGAAGUUGGUAGUAGCUGUAUGACAUUAGACUGUGCUAACUGACUAGCUUCUAAUACAGAGACAACCUUAUGGGAAAAGCAUGCAGUUAGAGCGAGAGAUGUACAUAUAUGCGACUAGUUGGCUUUCCAGUUGAGCUGGGAGCAGAGCUGCGGAAAUAACAAAUUGUUACACUUUUCAGAUCCAAAUUUGCUGGCUGGCUGGAUCUGUGUGUUGCAAAAUAUCACAAAUUUAACAGAGUAUUAUGCCAUACAGCUAUAGACCCAGUUGACCUAAAAAGGAAACAAAAUCGAAAGAGCUGAAAGAACAACUUAGUUCACUGAUAUAAACUGAGAAACGAGCUAAGGUUGGCUGAAUUUCCUCACGCCUACCAUAGAUGACAGGCGGAUGAACAUUUCCAAAUGUAUGAUUCAAUGAUUCAAAUAUAUAUUGUUAAGAAAAUCCAUGACACAAAAGCGAUUUCAAUAUUUCCAUUUUUCCAAAAUACAUACAUAUGUACAUUACAUGUGUAUGUACGUAUGCGUUGAGUACUAACUCUGCAAUCUAAUUUUUAGCCUUUAUCUUUUUGAAAUACGCACCCAAACAAGCGUGUGCACGUAUGUACAUAUGUAUGUGUGGGUGUUUACCGACUGCACUUUUUCAUACACAAAUAUUUGUCCAUUCUAGGAAAAUUAUAAUUUUAAGAACUUACCGCGUCGGGUAAAGGUAAUUCUGCUUAAAAGCAGGUUUCUGUUAAUAAAACACUCUUAAAUCUUUAAUAUUUAACAACAAAUACCAAA